GAGAGCUCAGAGGACUCAGAGCUGUGGGAGUAGCAGCUGGGGCCUUCCUGUGGUUGUUUCUUCUGUGGCAGCGGUAAAGCUCUGGUACCCAGCUGGGGUCAGGCAGUGGGCUGAGCAUUCCCCAGCAAAAUGCAGCUGGUUUUCAACCUUCAGGAUCAGGGAUGAGGGUAAGUGCCAGUGACCAUCAAUAUGGAGAUGUCAUUUGGUUUCCCAGGGGUCUGAAAACUCGUGUGAGGAAUCUCCUGCAGCUGAGUCUGGCCUGGCUGGAUUGAGAAACAGCUCUUCCAGGAGGAUUCCAUCAUUCUGAGAGUGAGCGGGGCAGACCCUGAGCACACAACCCUCGACCUUCUUGAGGCUGUUCCCAGGCACUGAUCCUGCCCCCAGCCCAUGCCCUGUGUGUGCAGCUGUCCCUGCAGUGCAGAGGUGUCUGAACAGCUUGGUGUCACUGAGAGCUGCUCUCUGCUUCCCAGCAGGGACAUGGAAUAAGGGACCCUGGAAAGGCUCUUGCUGCUCUCUCAGCAGGAAAAUGAACUUCCCAAUUCUGAGACAUGUUAAGGAACAGCUAAGGAAGAACUGUUGACUCUUAUCCUUUUCUUGUAUUAAAAAUAUCUUUCUGACAACACCAUUAUCAUCUUCCACUGGUGGCCACCUGACAGAUGUUUCUGGAAAAAAAGCUGACUUCUGCCAAUGGCUUCUGCCCUAUGGAGAAAAUCAGAGAAUGACUGAACCUUGCAUCUAGACCUUCUUCAAGUUUUCCCACUGUGCUUCCUGCCUUGUUGACACCAACAAUCCCUGCAGAGACAAUCCUGUACCACCUGUUGGGGUGGCAGUACCAUCCACCUUCAGAGUGAUGAUGUGAGAAAAAACAGUGUUUUUUGAUUGUACCAGUGUGAGAGCUAGAGGUGAUGUCUGAGAGGCUGGAGGGAGUUGACAGAGAGAGUUGGGGUCAUUGUUAUUACUAAUUUCCCCUGGGCCAUGUACAGAACUUGGAGGGGAUUUCUGCUCCACCCUUCACGUGCUUUCCUUUAACACUCACUAAUCUCUCACUAACCUGCCUCUGUACACUGGCUUGCUAUGGGGAUUUUCCCACUCUGGAUACCCACAAAGACCAUUAAUAAAUUGUCACAUCUCAGAGGCUGGCUCCA
rnacentral:lncRNA from 1 species